AGAAAAAUUGUCCCAUAUCAUAGAGUCGAGCGCCUGUCACGUGGUCUAGUGUAGUACGGCACACUAGUCUGAAUCAGCCAAUUUGGUUGUGAGUGUGGUCUCUAGUUGUUUCCCCCGCUUUUAGUUUUAAAGGUAAGUCGUUUUUCAUUGUGAGCUUGGUUUUGAGUUCAUUUCUUUUACGUGUCGAAAAUGUAGCUUCGUAAUUAAUUACAAAUAGCGAAACCCGUUUGCAAUUGUUGUUUCACUUUCAGGUAUUAAUACAAGUCGACAAAUCGAGACAAACAAGAGUUUAUUGCCUCACGAAAGCUAGGACAGACUUGGCAUGUGUCCAGUGCAGGUUCUAUAGGAGCCAUUAUACUUUUGAAAGCCAAUAUUCAUUGCUUUGAACCGUCAGACGUUUAAAAUGUCUCCAUCGGCGACCACAAAUUCAAAGACAGUAUCUCUUUGUUCAAAUUAGAUAUUCAAAAGUAAAAUAAAUUACCAGAUUAAAGUUGGCUUGCAUUUGUUUACUGUACUUAGAAAUCAUAAUCACAUUGUUCGAAUAGUGAGCUUAUUAUAUUUGGAGAUUUACUCAGGUAAUAAUCGGGUAACGGAGGAAAAUCGAGUUUUCCUGUAUGUAUCUUUGUGGGGACACCAAUUUGCCCCUCCCCCCCAAAAAAAAUUCGUCAGGGGCGAAUGACGUCAUCUCCAUUUUCGUCCAUGUGCUUUCUUUCGAGUGUUGUCAGUGCAAUAUUGUGGACUUUCGAGUAUUGAGAAAGCUUACUGUGGACUGUAGUAGAUGAGUUGUCCAUUUAAAGUUUCAAGGAAGUGUUAAUGGCAUUUAAAAACCUUGCAGACAUGUCUUCACGAAAUGUGUACGACUUUUUGUGCGAACAGAAAGCUGUAGUUUGGCUGCGUGUUGUGUACCCUCUUCUCUUCAGCCAAAACCAAUGCUGCUUUUGAAAUGUGUACUUUUCACUUCGCUGGCGUAGAUUUCUGUGCGCAAAAUAUGUAACAUAAACCCAGCGAAAGUGUUUACAUUGAAAAAGAGUUCAACUCGCACAGGAUAGCUUUGGCACACCAGGGCAACCCUAAAACAUGGAAUCCGGAACCGGAACCGGAAUCCGGAAUCCAGAAUCUGUAAUCCGAAAUCCAGAUAUUAUGAAUGACGAUAGAAAUAACUCACUUCAGCAAUGUCUAAUAAAUAAAUAUAGGGAAAAAUUUUUUUUUUUUUUCAUUUUCUUUGCUUUACUUCAGCCACAAACUGUAAUUGUUAAGAAAUUAUUGACUAUUGUAGUUCUGAACAACCCUUACCUAUACAUCUGGCCCGGUUGUUCAAUAGCUAGAUAAAGCUAUCCAUUGGGUAAAUCAAAAGGCCAAAUUUACACCUCCUGUAAACUGCAGUUCACUUAUUAAACAAAAUGGCAAUUACCAGCAAGCUUAUUUUAGACGCUCUCAGGGUGCUUGGAAUCAAAUUACAACGCACGAUAUUUAGAUUCUCAUAAUCAUAGCCCUUGCUAGAAAUAAUCAUUGCACGAAUUUCAAUAGAUGGGAAAUUUUUGUUUCAAAAAAGGAUAAGUUUGAGGUCCUUUUUACUUGGCCUCUUACGUUUUACAGGUAAAAGCUAUGCAAAGUAAUUUUCGCGUAUUUUAAGAACUUGUUUUCUUUGAUUUAUGGAUUCCGGAUUCCGGUUUCCAGUUUCCGGUUCCGGAUUCCGUUCUCCGGUUUCCUAGUUUUAGGGUUGCCCGCACACCAACAUGUCCUCCGUUUCAUUGUUUCGGAAGUGAAAAUGCUCAGCAGCUGUUUCCCCAGAAGCCAAGGCGGAAGAUGUAAACCCAAUUUAUUUGAAAACACUCUCUGUAGGUAUAGACGCUACAGAAAUCGAUGCCACAGUUUGAAUGCACAGUUUUUAAUCAUGGUUCGCAUAAGCGCGAGAGUAAAUAAGAGUAAUUAUGGGUGUGUGUGAUGUAACGCGAUGUCAUGUGAUGUAAUGUGAUUCAACUGAAAAAUAAACAAGACAAAAUACCUAAGUACAAAGAUAUAACUGCAAACUAAAAGCGGAGAAAAAUAAACUCACAAACUGUGACGAGUCCAACAGGAUAAAUCUCUUGACAACAAUAAUUCGGAACCUCACAACAGUGGAAUUCUACUCCGAAACGCGGUAGAAACCGGGAAAAAACUAACCGCCAGCCGCAAACAAGCACUGACAAUAUGCAAUAUGCAUAAUGAUCGGUUAAGUACUAAUGGGUUGGUUACGUAAUUCCCAUAGGUAAGCGGCACGCAAAAACCUGGAAUUUAAAAUACUCAAAGAAAAUUCUAGUUGCUACACUCUCAUAGAGUUUUUCCAAACUUUACAGUCUUGAAGAUCUACAUCCAGAAUUCAAGAGGCUUUUGGUCAUUUUAAAAGUUCAGAUCUAGAUUUGAAAAAGAUUGUUGAUAACGGGAAGCCGCAACGCCGUCUAUAGACGUUUUUUCCUUGGGCGGUUUGUUUUCCAUUACAGACCACGUGAUAUUCUCUAGAGCAUUCUUUUAUCCAUCUUAAAAUGAUUUAUUCAUAUGCACAGGACUAUUUGAAAACUUAAAAGGAAGAAUUCUCAAGAGUAUCAUCACAUGGUCUGCAACAAACCGCCCAGUCGAAAAAGGUCUAUUUGUUGCCAUUGUAGCAGCGAUGUUUAUCGAACCUUUUUGAAAAGUUUGUUUAAUCUUCAGUAACUGUGUGAAGCAGCUAUCCCGACCGAGCUAACACCAUGAAUAAUCACCCGUUCAUAGUUGAAAUGGUGUGCCUCUGAAACUUUAAACAAUUAACGUCCUAGCUCUGGCUUCCCAUGAUUCCAUUGUUUCUCGUUGGCCAUUCGCUCGUAGAAGCACCAGUAGUAUAAUUGCCAAUUGUUGAAACGGUUUAGCGGAAAAACAAAUAUCAUUCAUCGAUUGAGAGGAGUUUUUAUUCAAUUAAGGAAGUGCAAGUGAUAAAUAAAGAAAUCCCCUUUAUUUGAACAUAUGUUUAUACGAGUAGUGUAGGAUGCUCAACAGGUCCCUUGCUAAUCAGAGCGCAGAACAUUUUGAAUCUACUGAUUCGAGAGCCGUGUUUUGGACAAGUGCCCUCCUUAUACGUCACAGGGCCUGAAUGUAACUGGCUUUAAUAUUGUGAUAAAUAAAUAAAUCUUCUUUAUUUAAAGAUAUGUUACGAGUAGUGUAGGCGCUCAUGAGUGCCCUAACCAAUCAGAGCGCAGGGUUUUUUGAACGGACCAAAGAACAAAGUCAAAGCAGAGACAACAAGGGAAAAGCCAGGUUCCAUUUUGAAGACUAAUUUACCAUUUUUCUUUUUUUUCAAUGAUUAAUAGAAACAACACAGUGGAAGUUUGGAAGUCAAGCCGGGCAGAAAGAAGAAGUUUCUAAACAUCAAAUGAGGGAAACCAUGAUUCCUACUCGAACAGGUAGACGUUGUUCCCUGAUGUGAUAACAAAAGCCGCUUUAAAUUCGACCAAGUGGAGCGUCACGUGAACGUUCCUACUACGAGAUUGUAGUGAAUAUAUAAGUAAAAAAUGAUCAGUUUAUCCGAGUAGAAUCAGUGAAAAUGUUGUUAAGGAUAAUAUUCCCCUGUACAUUCCAGAAACUGACAGUGAUUACUAACCAUAGCCUCUCAGUAUGUAUUGUAGAACCAAACAAAAAGUAAAGUGUUUGAUGUGAAACGACACCCAGAGAAAACUGGGCUCCAAUAGGGAUUUUGUUCACAGGCUUACAUAAGCGAGACCUUUGUGGAAUUACCUUAUGCUUACAUUAGAUUAGAUAGAAGUUUGUGUCGAAGCCUGGAUGUACUAAAACAAGGUGAAAUGUUCUCACGUUUCAAUAUGGGUUUUGUAUAAUAAGUUUCAAAAUUGUCGCCCGUUUAUUGGCCAAUUGUUGUGGAGGCGGAUCCAGGGGAGGGGUUAAGGAGAUUACAAACCCCCCUUUGAGAAGCAUUUUUUUUUGUUAUAUGUUUUACUCAUCAUAAAACUAAUGGAAUAAAAUUGUUUUAUACGUAUGUAGUGAUCGGGUAAGACGAAGGAAGACAAGUACAGUGUACACGCGUUCAGUCUAAGAUGUAAUUUUUACUGUAAUCUCAUUCUUGGAUGAUCAUGUUACAUUGGUAGAUUAUUAAAUCACGUGUAUCAAUGAUGUAAUCGCUACAACGUAGUUGUUUGACUUCGGUUCCACUAAUUGCCUGAUUGUCUCAGCGGGAAAAGAUGAUGAACCUUUCGUCAUUGCAUUAUUUAUAAGGAAACUACAGAUAUAUCAUGUCGUCACAAACGUUUUUCAAGUGCCAGGAAUGAUGGAAAUGGUGUUUUAGAUGGUAAAAUCGGAAAAACAUUUUCCCUCUAGAAGUUCUUGCCUGCGGCGUUUUCCAUCCACGCUGGUGGGGUCGAAGUUAUUUAAGUGUACAACUACCCUCCC